UGAUGAUGAUGAUGAUGAUGAUGAUGAUGAUGAUGAUGAUGAUGAUGAUGAUAAUGAUCGUCAUCAUCAUCAUCAUCGUCGUCGUCGUCGUCUUCG
rnacentral:pre_miRNA from 1 species